UACGACGACGCGUACGAACGUUUGACCCGCCUGGUGGCGUACGAAUGGAGUCUUCAUCCUAAAGUCGUGUCGUACGCUCGACGAGAGAACGCUCUCGGGCGGAAUAAGUGUCUCUCGUCGAAUCCGUCGGUUCGAGGGAAAAAAAGAAGGAGAACGACUCGUCCAUCGCGUUUCUCAUUAAGCGACUCGUCGUCUCGCGAUUCGGUCCGCUGCAUCCUUGACGGUCGAAUGCUCCGAGCGUUUUCCAGCGAAUCCAUAUGCGAUCGUGACAUCCACGUACGAACGAACCAACGAACGCGAACGAUUCCUCUUUUAUUACGUUACUUCUUUCGUAAAUAAGUGAACAAAGUUUGCUAUUGCGAUUCGUGGGACCUUGGGAACGAUCGUGAGUCGGCUCAAACGAGAGAGCGCUCGACGUUCUUUAGAAAGUCUUUCUAGAGAUAGUAGAUACCAGUCACGGAUAUCAAGUUUCCAUUAACUGCGAUGAAUCGAACCGACAUCGUAAGUAGACGUCUUGGCGAGUAGACGGAAGCUGCUUAGCUCCAUACUACGUACUCUCGUCCAGCGAAUGUACCUUCGUAGAAUGUCAAAGGAAUGAUUUGUCGGCUUGAUAAUCUACCAUGGCUAAGGCUCUUACGAUGGACCAUCUUGGUGCCACUCGUGAUAUAUGUCUCCCUUUUAAUCGUCUGGUACAAGAAAAACUUACCUCUAAGGAGCCGGGUCUCCAUCCCUAAUAACGACGACAAGGACAAGGAAGAUUCCGCGAUCGAGAGCCUAUUUUUCGAACUGGAGUUCGCGACGAUCGGAAAGAAGGAACGAGAUCGUUACGAGAACGCUGGCCUCAACUGGGUGGAGGAAGAGAGUAUAAGGGAGCUCGGGGAUCCGGAGAAUCGCAUGGAUCCGAAAAAUUUGUUGGAGGAUAUCUUUCAAAGGGCUGACCUCGACGAGAAUCAAUUGUUGGACAUUCAAGAGCUCGCUAAAUGGAUUCACGUUAAGAUCACGGCACACGUUCAUCGCGCUAUGAGAGAUAACGUCGGUCUCUUCACUGCCGUCGACAAUAAUCCGAGAAAUGGCGAAAUUUCCUGGGAGGAAUACCACGCGUACUUUUUACGAUUGCACGGUUUCCCGGAGAGUUACGUUCGCUCGCACGAUAAGAGGCACAAGGAGAUGCCGAGAACGUUGAAGGAGAGCAUCAUGAGGGACAGAGCGAGGUGGACCGAUGCGGCGAGAAACGAUCCGGAGAAGUUGACGUUGGACGAGUUUUUGGCCUUUACUCAUCCGGAAAGUAGUCACAGGGCGCUUUUGCAAAUGGUGGAGGAUCUCUUUGAGAAAUUUGGUAAUCCGAUCGAUCACCGUUAUCGAAUCCAUUAUUAUUAUUAUUGUUAUUAUUGUUGUUGUAUCCAUUCGUCACAUCACAUCAUCGUCAUCGUCGUCGUCGUCGUUGUCGUCGUCGUUCUCGUAAUUUUCUCACUAUUGUUAUCUCGCGUAGAUCGCGACGGCGACGAGCAACUGACGGAGGACGAAUUUUCGGAUUUGCCGUCCGAAAGUGUCGGUUUGGAAUUCAACGAAGAUCGGCAUCAAACCGUCGGAGGUAGCGUCGACAGGCGAAAGGAGUUUCGUCACCUCAUCGACAAAAAUAAAAAUGGGAAGGCAGAUCGUACCGAACUCUUGACGUAUAUCGAUCCACGGAAUCCAAGGCACGCUAUUCAAGAGGCCCAACAUCUGAUCAGUCUCUCUGAUAUAAAUCACGACGGGAAAUUAAAUCUCCCGGAAGUUUUGAGCAAGAUGGAUCUCUUCUUAUGCAGUAAAAUGGUCGACACCGAAAAAAGCUUCCACGACGAAUUCUGAUCGAUCGGGAAAUGCGUAAUAUAAGCGAUAUAUUAUUAUAUAUUCAAAAAGACAAUACUCUUUUCUAGUCUUUACGCCGGACUACCGAUUAGAUUUCUGACAACGUGUCUGUGAUAGUCUUUUCAACAUAGAAUAUCAUUUCGAUCAACGUAGCUACGUUAUUAAGAUUCACUAUAUUCUAUAAAUACGAUAUCGCGUCGGUAACAGAAGGAUACUCACCGCGUUGGAUCGAUUCGAUACGAUUGCUCGUUUCGACGAAUAUAUCAACCGGUCGAAUAGUUUUGGCAUUAACAUUCAACGGUACGCACCAGUAGCGAGAGAGAAGACGAAGAGGACGAGUAUAUUGUGUCGUAUCGCGCAUGGACGCAGGAUUUCUUUACCGAAUAUAUAAAUUCCCAUGUACUAUGCAAAGCAAUAAAUUUCUUAUUUCUCAUGUAUUAAA